rnacentral:rRNA from 1 species
CACGAUAGGGACUGCGGAGACAUUACCGAGUGAGGGCCCUCUGGGUCCAACCUCCCACCCGUGUCUAUCGUACCUUGUUGCUUCGGCGGGCCCGCCGUUUCGACGGCCGCCGGGGAGGCCUUGCGCCCCCGGGCCCGCGCCCGCCGAAGACCCCAACAUGAACGCUGUUCUGAAAGUAUGCAGUCUGAGUUGAUUAUCGUAAUCAGUUAAAACUUUCAACAACGGAUCUCUUGGUUCCGGCAUCGAUGAAGAACGCAGCGAAAUGCGAUAAGUAAUGUGAAUUGCAGAAUUCAGUGAAUCAUCGAGUCUUUGAACGCACAUUGCGCCCCCUGGUAUUCCGGGGGGCAUGCCUGUCCGAGCGUCAUUGCUGCCCUCAAGCACGGCUUGUGUGUUGGGCCCCCGUCCCCCUCUCCCGGGGGACGGGCCCGAAAGGCAGCGGCGGCACCGCGUCCGGUCCUCGAGCGUAUGGGGCUUUGUCACCUGCUCUGUAGGCCCGGCCGGCGCCAGCCGACACCCAACUUUAUUUUUCUAAGGUUGACCUCGGAUCAGGUAGGGAUACCCGCUGAACUUAAGCAUAUCAAUAAGCGGAGGAAUUGAAGGUGAAAUCGUAACAAGGUUUCCGUAGGUGAACUGCCCGUCAU